rnacentral:rRNA from 3 species
AGUAACGGCGAGUGAACAGGGAGAAGCCCAAAUUUGUAAUCUGGCACUUUUUACAAGUGUCCGAGUUGUAAUUUGUAGAGCUGUUAUCCGUACUGGACCAUGUACAAGUCUGUUGAAAAGCAGCAUCAUUGAAGGUGAAAAUCCUGUAGAUGAUAUGGACUACCAGUAUAUUUGUGAUACGGUUUCUAAGAGUCGAGUUGUUUGGGAAUGCAGCUCAAAGUGGGUGGUAAAUUCCAUCUAAGGCUAAAUAUAAGUGAGAGACCGAUAGCAAACAAGUACCGUGAGGGAAAGAUGAAAAGAACUUUGAAAAUAGAGUUAACAGUACGUGAAAUUGCUGAAAGGGAAACGUUUGAAGUUAGUUUUGUAUUCGUUGGAUCAGCUUCGCAAGGAGUGUAUUCCGAUGAUAAGCAAGUCAACUUCAGUCUAUGAGUGCCGGAUAAGGGUUUUGAGAAUGUAGCAAUUUAAUUGUGUUAUAGCUUGAGACUUGGAUACGGUGCUUUGGACUGAGGAACGCGUAGUAAGCUUUGAGCGGAUUCGAAAGGAUCUCCUUACUAUGGAUGUUGGUGAAAUAACUUUAAGCGACCCGUCUU